CUGGGUUCAACCCCUGGGUCAGGAAGAUCCCUUGGAAAAGGAAAUGGCAACCCACUCCAGUAUUCUUUCCUGGAGAACCCCAUGGACAGAGGAGCCUGGUGGAUCCAUUGGGUUGAAAAGAGUCAGACAUGACUGAGAAGCUAACACUUCACUUCAUUAAGCCAUUAGCAAACCAAAGUGUCUUCUGAUAAUAUCCACUUCUUCAGCUAUCAUUCUUUGGAUAAUUUCAGUCUCACAGAAGACAACUGUGACCCAGAGGCUUCUAAGUUGCUAAAAUUAUAUGCCCAAAGUCAUCAUUUUUAUUCCUAGCAGAAAUCCUCAUAUCUUUAUUUUAAAGCCUGUUAAAACUUACUUUACAAGACAGUUUAAAUAAAAUAUUUUUAGAAAAGUGAAGAGAUGAAAAAUAUAUUAAAAAUUGUCAUGAAAAUUUAAAAAGUUAAAUCAUAUCUAUUCAAAGUGUGUAAGUAAAUCCAUAAAUCCCUACAUCUAUGUUUCAUUAAGUCCUACACAUAUUGUACUACAUGGCACAAUACUACCUGUCAGUAAUGAUGCCAAACAUUUGUCAUUAGUAAUUGCACACAUAGUAAAAAUUGUAAGCUCUGUAAGGGUAGGAAACAUACAUUUCAUUUACAUGCCAUUUUCUACUUUUAUUCCUGCAGCUUCUUUGAGAGUGCAGUUGAAAAUAGACUAUUUAAAAGGAAUGAAGGUCUUGCAGCUCUACAUACAUAAUCUGUGCUAAAUCCUGUUGUUGGUGGAAGUCAAAUGCUUAGGCACCAGUUGUGUUGUCCAACCCAAGUUCCUGUGCUUGAGGUAAAGUGAGGCCAAACAAA
rnacentral:lncRNA from 1 species